ACUCGAAAAACAAUAUAAAAGAACAGAAAAAAUUUUAAUGAUGAUCGUCAGUCAUUAAUUAAUCUCUCUGCCAGUCGCUUCAGUAAAGUUAUAAUAUGCAGAAGACAAAGGUUUUGCUGUUGAUUCACUUGAUUUGUAUCGCAGUUCUUCCGAUCGUUAUCAGUGAUUAUAGAAAGUGUACGGAUGCAGAAGUACAUGGAAUUUGCAGACCGUAUUGCUUGCUGACUAGUAUACCAGUUUGUAAGAAAGUAAAUCCGCCUUGUCUUUGUCCUCCUAAAUAUGAUAAAAUUCUUAAAACUAAAUUAUGACAAACCGUAAUUGUUUCAAACGGAUAAACGACAUUUUGAAUCGAUGAAUACUGAAUAAACAUCGUUCUGCGACAAAAACUUGCAUAAAUACCAAUUUGUAUUUGAUAUAUUGUAAUAACAUUUAAGUAUUUUUAAUAUUAUAAUUGAUGUAUUUUAAUUCAUACAAUAAACUCUUUUUUUUCUUCAA